rnacentral:rRNA from 1 species
AUGAACGCUAGCGACAGGCCUAACACAUGCAAGUCGAGGGGCAGCACAAGGAGCAAUCUGAGGUGGCGACCGGCGCACGGGUGGGUAACACGUAUGCAACCUGCCUGUAAGCGGGGAAUAACCCGUUGAAAGACGGACUAAUACCGCAUAAUACUAAAUUACUGCAUGGUAAUUUAUUUAAACAUUUAUGGCUUACAGAUGGGCAUGCGCAUGAUUAGCUAGUUGGAGAGGUAACGGCUCCCCAAGGCAACGAUCAUUAGGGGUUCUGAGAGGAAGGUCCCCCACACUGGUACUGAGACACGGACCAGACUCCUACGGGAGGCAGCAGUGAGGAAUAUUGGUCAAUGGACGAGAGUCUGAACCAGCCAAGUCGCGUGCAGGAAGAAUGUCCUAUGGAUUGUAAACUGCUUUUGCAGGGGAAUAAAGUGCAUCACGUGUGAUGUUUUGUAUGUACUCUGCGAAUAAGGAUCGGCUAACUCCGUGCCAGCAGCUGC